CACGGGGGGAGCAAGCGUUGUUCGGAAUCACUGGGCGUAAAGGGCGUGUAGGCGGUUCGGUAAGUGGAAUGUGAAAUCCCUCGGCUCACCCGAGGACCUGCAUCCCAAACUGCCGAGCUUGAGUAUGGGAGAGGAUGAGGGAAUUCCUGGUGUAGCGGUGAAAUGCGUAGAUAUCAGGAGGAACACCGGUGGCGAAGGCGCUCAUCAGGCCCAAUACUGACGCUGAGGCGCGAAAGCUAGGGGAGCAAACGGG
rnacentral:rRNA from 1 species